rnacentral:rRNA from 1 species
UAACAGGUGACGGGGAAUCAGGGUUCGAUUCCGGAGAGGGAGCCUGAGAAAUGGCUACCACAUCCAAGGAAGGCAGCAGGCACGCAAAUUACCCACUCUCAGAACGAGGAGGUAGUGACGAAAAAUAACAAUACGGGACUAUUAAUAGGCCCCGUAAUUGGAAUGAGUACAAUAUAAAUCCUUUAACGAGGAUCUAUUGGAGGGCAAGUCUGGUGCCAGCAGCCGCGGUAAUUCCAGCUCCAAUAGCGUAUAUUAAAGUUGCUGCGUUUAAAAAGCUCGUGGUUGUAUCUCAGUUCAUGUCAAUUGGUCAAUCACUUAAUAGUGAUUACUUUUUGACUGAACAUUAAACCGAUUUGUUUUCUGAUGCUCUUUACCGGGUGUU